AGAAUGGCUGGAUCUGGUGCCCAGCUCUAUCCCAUCUCCAGCUUUCUGUUGGUGUGGACCCUGGAGGGCAGUGGUUAUGACUUGAAUGAUUGAGUUUUACCACACAUGUAGAACUGGAUUGGAUUUCUACCUCCUGGCACUGAGCCUUACCCAGCCACAGACUUUGUGAGCAUUUGGAGAGGCCCCCAAAUAUACUGACUUCCUGACGGCUGGACCCUUAAUGUUACACAGUAAAAGGACACUCAAUUUGCAAGUGGAAUUAAGGCUGCUAAUCAGCUGCUGUCUUUAAGGAGAUAAUGAAGAUCUAUAAUUAACUAAAGCAAGAAUGUGGGGAAGGCGUAUGAGAUUGUUUUGAGUCAUUUAAAGAAAACAGAAUCUACAUGUCCUGUUGUUGGAGCAUAUUGUGCAUGAAAGAACAGUUCUGAAUAUCUCACUUCUACUGGUGCCCAGUGAUUGCAGAAGUUAAAGAACUGCUGUAGCCUGGUUUCUUAGCUUUCUCCAUGGAGAUUACUGGAAAACUUUAUUAUAUUUCUGUAUGUGUCUUUCUUUCCAUCUAAAAAAUAAGGCUUGAUUUCCUUCUUCAGAAAGUAAUCUGCAUGAGAUAGUGUGAUUUGCCCUUCCCUCCCUUCCCCUGAAUGUAUAUGAUACAUCCAUGAUACGUUCAUUUCCAAGGAAACCAGGUGUCUUUUCUCCAAAAUGGUAAGUUCACAUAAAUUAUCAAUCUCAUUCUUCUUAAUUUCCCAAGGUCAUAGUUCAUAAUUUUCCUUCAACAUUAUAUCUUCAUAUUUUCCCUAUUAUACCAUUUCUUCUGUCUGUAAGUUGUUCAAAUUCUAUCAUUUGUAAAGCUUACCUCAAUCUUACCUGCAUUCAAGCUAUCACAUCUGCUGUUCCCUUCCUUCACUGACAAAUUACUUAAGCUAAGCCUCAAUUAUUUUUCAUUUCGUUAGCUCCUUUACUUUUCAGCUCAUUUCAAUAUAGCGUUUCCCCCUAUCAAUUUUCAAUUGACCUUGAGACAACACCAGUGAACUGAAAAACACAUUAAUAAAUUUAGUGACUCAUUGCACUGCUCACUAAAUAGACCCCUUUAACAUCUAACACUACCAACAUGAUUCUUUAUCUCUUUUCUCCUUUGAUGUACAGUGGACUCAUUUCCCGGUUUCCCUUCUACCUGUUGUAGAAUUACUGGUGCCUGCACCUUUGUCAUUCAAUAAAAAAUUGAGACACUUCAUGGGACUCUCAGUUAUCCUUUCUCCUGUUAGGCUACAUUUCCUUCCUUGCUGUGUUUAGUGUCUACUCCCAGGACUUCCUUCAUCUAAACAUUCAUAUUCCUAAUCAAUAACCUCUCAUGCAAGUGUGUCUCCACUAUUGUUUUCUGUAACGCAAUCUACCUAAUUCCAUGCUACUAUCAUUCAGGCUCUAAUUUAAAAUCCUCCAAUAGGUGUUCUCUCUUAUAAACUACCCUCUACCAUGACUUUUAUUUUCUGCUUUUAAUGUAUUACUAUAUAUCUUACUUUUAUCUGUGAAGACUUGGAGUGUAUGCUACCUGAAGGCCAUGUUUUAUGCAGCUCCCACAGUGUUUUUCAAUCUUUUGCAUAGUGAUUUCUCAUCAGCCACUUGUUGAAUGCAUGAAAAAUUAAUAUUACAACUGAAAAAUAGCUUCUUCCUCAUUAGGUUUUAUUUUUAGGGUUGAUGCUAAUAGUCAGUCUUGGAGUCUUAUAAGUUAAUCUUACCUUGUGCUCAGAAGAGCCCUAAUUAGAAUCUAAUAAUGCACACACAUUCAUCUGAGUACACUGCAGGGAAAGUAUAGGAGAUCAACUUCAGAUAUGCAAAUUCAAUUCCUGAAAUAUUUUAAAUAUUUUAUUGUAGCAUAAAAAUAGCAUGCCAAUAGCUUCCAAAGUGUGGUUCUUUUGUUCCUCCCUCAAAACCAAAAUUUCUCAUCUUCAAUUGGAGAACUUAUAAAUGAGAUAGGUAUUAAACUACAUAAAUAUAGGUCAAUAAAUAUUGGCUACUGCAUUUGGAAAUAUAGUGUGUGAUAUAUUUGAUUAAAUUUAUUUAUUAUUUUUUUUCUGAUGUUUUCGCAUGAGGAAGAAGUGGGCACAACUAGGACUGUUAAAUUGUUAGGGAAUAUUCCUUAAUUUUAAAAACAGAAGAAAUGCAAAGAAACAUGAGUGAGGGAAUGGAACUGGGAGACCAGUUAUGGCUCCUCAGUAAUCACAUCUUAAUUAUCAGUUCCAGCAGACAAUUACCUUUGGAUAACAUUUUUCCACAUUUUGAAGAAUCCUUGUAUUUGUCUCAGUAUCCAUGCAUUAAUCUCUCAGUGUAAUAAAAAACAGUUUCACCCAUAAAAGCUUUUAGAGUAUAUUUACAUUUAUAGAAAUGUUGAAAAGAUAAGUUUCCCUACCUGAAGCUCAGUAUCUCCCGUUAUUAAAAUCUUCCCUUUCUACAUAUUUGCUACAAUUAAUUAACCAAUAUUGUUGCAUUGUCGUUAAACCAAAGUCCACAGUUUAUUCAGAUAGCCUUCAUUCAUAUUUAAUGUCUGUCUUCUGUUGAGAUUCCAUUCAGGAUAUCCUAUUCCGUUUAGCUCAUGUUCUCUGGGAUUUCUCUUGGCUGUGGCACUUUCCCAGACUUUCCUUCUUUAUCAUUUCUUGACAGUUUUGAAGACAAGUGCUUAGGUAUUUUAUAUAAUAUCCCUCAACUGGGAAUUUUCUGAUCUUUUUCUCAUGGUCAAGCAAGGUUAUAAGUUUGGGGAGGAAAAAAACACACAGGUAAAGUAUUAGCAUCAUCAUGACUAUAAUGUUAACAUGAAUUAUAAACUGUUGAUGUUAAUGUUUACAACUGAAAUAGUGUUCAUCAAGUUUCUCCAAAAGCUCUCUUACUUUAAAUUUGGGCUUCUCAGAACCAGUAACCUAAAAUCUGGACUCCUGUCACCUGAUGCCCUUUGUUGAGUCCAUCUUUUGGGCCAGGAAAAUUAUAUCUGUUAAAACCAUAUUGCAGAAAUGUAGUUUGUGCUCCAUAGUGCUGAAAUGCAUCAAUUCCCUAAAGCAACUCAACCUUAUUGUGAAAGAAAGUAAUCUCUGAGUUCUUUUCCCUAAGAUAAAUUUUGUGAGAAGGACAAGAGUUUCUACCGUGUACCUCUUUGUCACCCUGUAUAAGCCUUUGGCCAUAUUUUCUUUUAAGUCUAUUUUAACCUCAAAGAGGCAAAAAUACAUAUCUCUUUCAAGUUGUAAUGUGUCAAAUGUGUGUGUUGCUUUGGAAUUUAAUUGUGCUGCUGUCCAAAAAGCUCUGUUUGGAAACAGGAAAUAUAUUUCCUAGUGACAAGAGCAUAUUUCAACUGAAGCAGCAAGUUGGUUAUAAGGCCCUAGGUUACAUUUCAGAAAAAGAAAGCAAGCCAAUCAAACAGAAGCAUAGGCAGGCCUCUCAGGCUAAUCAAAGCUUCAUGUCUUUCUAAUUUUGCUUUCAUGAGUCCCACAGAGUAAAUUAUAUUGCUCAAAGUGAAAUGUAGCCCUGUACUUUCACUCACUUAUUCUUUUGUAUAUCUUUCAAAAGAUGAUGGAUUCAGAUCAAGCUCAAAUUUUAGAGCCACCCUGUCAACAUCAGUGACAAAAAAGACUGCAUUGUGUGUUACCAUUUUGCUUUAAAUGGAACUCAUUUCCAUCAAAAGCAGUUUUUGGAGGGCAGAGUGGUAGCUUGGGGUAGUUCAUUACAGUGUUUGGUUCGAGAUUUUGAUCUGUAAAAGUGCAGAGAGCAGCUGCUAUAGCCAACUCUGCUGUGGGGAGGUCAGCUUUCCCUCCAGGGAGGGUUCUGAUCCUUGCCCAAACAGAGAGGCACAUUUGUCAUUGGAUUAUCCUCUAAUGCCUCUAGUGCCCAGGGUCUCUUUUGCCCUACACUCUCCCCAUUUGUCCAGAACUUUGAUUUCGUGAGAUGUAAGCCCUGAGGAGUUAUAUAGUUUGACGUAACUUUCAAAAAUAAAACAUAAUGAAGACCAAAAGGAUGUGUUUCUAAUGUUGGAGUCCUAGACAGUGUGUUAGUCUAUUUUCGGCAUGAGUGGAGGAUGGCCCUGGAUAUCACAGGGCGGGUAAUUUAAAGGAAUAAAGGUUUAUCCAACUCAUAGUUUUGUUUCUUUUUGAAAAGAUUUAUUUAUUUAUUUGAAAGGCAGAAUUACACGGAGAGAGGAGAGGCAGAGAGAGAGAGAGAGAGAGAGAGAGGUCUUCCAUUCGAUGGUCCACUCCCAAAAUGGCUGCAAUAGCAGGAGCUUCACCAAUCUGAAGCCAGGAGGCAGGAGCAUCUUCUGUGUCUCCCAUGUGGGUGCAGGGGUCCAAGGACGUGGGCCAUCUUCUACUGCUUUCUCAGGCCAAAACAAAGAACUGGAUCGGAAGUGGAACAGCUGGGUCUCGAACCAGUGCCCAUAUGGGAUGCCGGCACUACAGGCCCGGGCGUUAACCCACUGCGCCACAGCGCUGGCCCCAACCAACUCAUAGUUUUGGAGUCUAAGGGGUCCAAAGUUGAGGGACUAUAGCACAUAAAAAUCCCAGAUGGUGGAGAUUCUGUGGAGUCUUGAGACAGCAUAGGACAUCACCUAGUGUCUUAGCAACUAUGCGUCCUCAAGUCUCUCUUCGUAUACAGCUACUAACACCAUCAUGGGAACACAACCCUCAUAAUGUCAUCCAAUCCUAAUUUCUUCCAGAAGGCUCACCUCCAAAUUCCAUUGACAUGUGACUUUGGAGAUUAAGUUUUAACAUGAGUCUUAGAGGGGACAAACACUCAAAUCAAAGCAGAGGAUUUUUUUUUUUUUUGGCUUAUUCAGCUUUAUUACAUGGAUGCACCCCUUUCUUUUUCCCAUAAUUCAGUCAGGAUCAUCUCCAUGAGAUUUUUAUUUUAAAAUGUUUAUUUAUAUGGAGAUAACAUUUCAUAUACAUAGUUUUAAGAACACAAUAAUACUUGUGUUCUCCUUCCUCCUUUGUUUCUUAUUUUUCUCUUAAUUUUUGCAAUGACACAACUUCAAUUUACAAUCACUAUCCCUGCGCACCACUAAAUAAGAAUUCAACAAGUAAGUAGAAAAAUCAUUGUUCUUCUGGAAUACAAAUAGGGGCCAUAAACAAUAAUAAAAUCUCAAAAUUUCAAUAUUGUUGAUAUAUAUUACAUUUUUGUACUCUGUAUAUCAGGGAAAACAAACAAUGUAUUUGGCUUUUUGGGACUGGCUAAUUUACUAAGCAUAAGGGUCUCUAACUGCAUACCUUUUGUUGUGAAAAACAGGAUUUCAUUCUCACCAUCAAC